GCGACACAGGCUCUUUAGAGCCUCUAGUUUUAAAAGCAAUGUAUUUGCAUAAUAAUAGUCUUUUUAGUUAGUAAAAUAAGUUGAUGUUUUGUAGGCAGAAAAAGAUCAGGAAAUAAGAAAAUAGAUGCAGCAGAAUCCAAGAAGUGUACAGUAAGACUGACUGAUAUUGGUACUAUUAAAAACUUGAAAACAUAUGUAAACAAGACAGAGAAAAAAAGAAAAAGAAGGAAGAUAUGUGUAAAGAACUUGUAAAAAAAAAUGUUAAAUGUUAAAGGGGCACUAGCUGUCAAAUUCAUGUUCACCGAUUUUACUUAAUUUCUAGUAUUUGAUUUAUAAUAAUGAAUAAUGUUAACAUUUAUCCAACCUAUUUAAAGUCUAAAAAAAAUUAUUAAGAGGACACGGUAUAAA
rnacentral:lncRNA from 1 species